rnacentral:rRNA from 1 species
AGGUGAGCUAAACAAAUAUAAUAUCUUCAAAAUACGUGGCAUAGUAUUUUUGUAAUAUGUGUUUAGGGGUGAUAGGCCUUUCAAGCUUUCUGAUAACUUGUUUCAUAUGAAAAGUAUUUAGUACAAAAACGUACUUAAAAAGUUAAGCUUUUAAGUAGUUAUUAAAAAUAAUUUCUGUGUUUAAUAUAGUAUAAUAGCUAAUUAGUAUAAACUUUAAUAUUACUUAUGUGUUUUUAUAAUAAAAUAAUAUGAUAGCUUAAUUAUUUUAAAACUUAACAAUGUUGAUAUUAGUACUAUUCUAAGUGUGUUAAAGGAACUCGGCAAAUAACCGCUCAACUGUUUAUCAAAAACAUAGCUAUAUGAGAUAAUAUAUAGUUAUUUCUGCUCCAUGAUUAUUAAAUAGCCGCAGUACCCUGACUGUGCAAAGGUAGCAUAAUCAGUUGGCUUUUAAUUAGAGUCUGGUAUGAAUGAAAAUAUGGGUGGUAACUGUCUUAACAUAUUUAUUUGAACUUAUUGAGCAAGUGCAAAUACUUGUAAGCUUAAAAAAGACGAGAAGACCCUAGAAACUUGAAAAUAGUUUUGUUGGGGCGACAGAAUUGCAUUUAACCAAUUUUAAAAGACAUGACAUUUAAUUGAAAGAAUAAGUUACUCUAGGGAUAACAGCAUAAUUUAAAUAGUUUGUGACCUCGAUGUUGGACUAGGUAUUAUACUCUUAAGGCAAGAAUAUAAAAUGCUCUGUUCGAGCAGUUUCACCUACAUGAUCUGAGUUCAGACCGG